UACGUAGGGUGCAAGCGUUGUCCGGAUUUAUUGGGCGUAAAGAGCUCGUAGGCGGUCUGUCGCGUCGGAUGUGAAAACCCAGGGCUCAACCCUGGGCCUGCAUUCGAUACGGGCAGACUAGAGUAUGGCAGGGGAGACUGGAAUUCCUGGUGUAGCGGUGAAAUGCGCAGAUAUCAGGAGGAACACCGGUGGCGAAGGCGGGUCUCUGGGCCAAAACUGACGCUGAGGAGCGAAAGCCAGGGGAGCAAACGGG
rnacentral:rRNA from 1 species